rnacentral:rRNA from 1 species
UACAGAGGGGGCAAGCGUUGUUCGGAAUUACUGGGCGUAAAGGGCGCGUAGGCGGCCUUGUAAGUCCUGUGUGAAAUCCCCCGGCUCAACUGGGGAACUGCACAGGAGACUGCUUGGCUUGAGUUCGGGAGAGGGAAGCGGAAUUCCGGGUGUAGCGGUGAAAUGCGUAGAUAUCCGGAGGAACACCGGUGGCGAAGGCGGCUUCCUGGACCGACACUGACGCUGAGGCACGAAAGCGUGGGGAGCAAACAGG